rnacentral:rRNA from 1 species
CCUACGGGGGGCAGCAGUGGGGAAUAUUGCGCAAUGGGCGAAAGCCUGACGCAGCGACGCCGCGUGAGGGAUGAAGGUCUUCGGAUCGUAAACCUCUGUCAGCAGGGAAGAACGGUCACUGUGCUAAUCAUCAGUGAAUUGACGGUACCUGCAAAGGAAGCACCGGCUAACUCCGUGCCAGCAGCCGCGGUAAUACGGAGGGUGCGAGCGUUAAUCGGAAUUACUGGGCGUAAAGCGCUCGUAGGCGGUAUGUCAAGUCAAGGGUGAAAUCCCCGCGCUCAACGUGGGAACUGCCUUUGAAACUGGCAAAAUGGAGUGUGUGAGAGGAGAGUGGAAUUCCAGGUGGAGGAGUGAAAUCCGUAGAUAUCUGGAGGAACAUCAGUGGCGAAGGCGACUAUCUGGAACAUAACUGACGCUGAGGAGCGAAAGCGUGGGUAGCAAACAGGAUUAGAUACCCGAGUAGUC